rnacentral:rRNA from 1 species
AAGUUUGACUUCCCGAAACUAAGUGAGCUACUUCAGGGCAGCUAGAAGAGCAAACCCGUCUCUGUAGCAAAAGAGUGGGACGACCCUCAAGUAGUGGUGACAGACCUAACGAACUUAGUGAUAGCUGGUUACUCAAGAAACGGAUUUAAGUCCAACCUGAAAGUUUUAUAACCUAAGUCCAUCAAAACAAUCACCUAGCUUUCAGCGUAAUUCAAAUAAGGUACAGCCUAUUUGAAACAGGAUACAACCUAGCCUAAUGGAUAAGAUCAGCCUAACAUACAAUCAAGUGGGCCUAAAAGCAGCCACCUUUAAUACAGCGUCAAAGCUAAAUUGUAACCGAGCCCAAUUACUUAACCCAUAUCUUAAUCCCCUGCCAAUACUGAGUAAUUCUAUAAUAUUAUAGAAAUUUUUAUGUUAAAACUAGUAACAAGAAGAAGAUUCUUCUCUUAAAUGUACAUAUAAAUCAGAAAAGACAAGCUACUGAUACUUAACACCUCUGAGCAUAAAGUAGUAACUAACCAAGAAAACUCUACUUUUACUGGUGUUAAUCUAACACAAGAACAUUCUAAGAAAGAU